UGGGGAAUCAUGGUCAAUGGGCGAAAGCCUGAACCUGCGACGCCGCGUGAGUGAUGAAGGUCGUAAGAUCGUAAAACUCUUUUCAGGGAUCUUAAAGCACAACCGUCAACAACGGCUGUGUGUGACUCUCCCUGGAAGAAGCCCCAGCCAACUACGUGCCAGCAGCUGCGGCAAUACGUAGGGGGCGAGCGUUAGUCGGAAUUACUGGGUGUAAAGGGUAUGUAGGCGGCCCUUCAAGUCGCGUGUCAAAGUCCAGUGCUCAACGCUGGGUGUGCGCGCGAGACUGACGGGCUUGAGGGCUGGAGAGGUGAGCGGAAUUCCCGGUGUAGUGGUAAAAUACGUAGAGAUCGGGAGGAACACCAGCGGCGCAGGCGGCUCACUAGACAGUUUCUGACGCUAAGAUACGAAAGCGUGGGGAGCAAACA
rnacentral:rRNA from 1 species